UCCGUAGGUGAACCUGCGGAGGGAUCAUUACCGAGUUUACAACUCCCAAACCCCUGUGAACAUACCUUUAAUGUUGCCUCGGCGGAUCAGCCCGCGCCCCGUAAAACGGGACGGCCCGCCAGAGGACCCAAACUCUAAUGUUUCUUAUUGUAACUUCUGAGUAAAACAAACAAAUAAAUCAAAACUUUCAACAACGGAUCUCUUGGUUCUGGCAUCGAUGAAGAACGCAGCAAAAUGCGAUAAGUAAUGUGAAUUGCAGAAUUCAGUGAAUCAUCGAAUCUUUGAACGCACAUUGCGCCCGCUGGUAUUCCGGCGGGCAUGCCUGUUCGAGCGUCAUUUCAACCCUCAAACCCCCGGGUUUGGUGUUGGGGAUCGGCUCUGCCUCACGGCGGUGCCGCCCCCGAAAUACAUUGGCGGUCUCGCUGCAGCCUCCAUUGCGUAGUAGCUAACACCUCGCAACUGGAACGCGGCGCGGCCAUGCCGUAAAACCCCAACUUCUGAAUGUUGACCUCGGAUCAGGUAGGAAUACCCGCUGAACUUAAGCAUAUCAAUAAGCGGAGG
rnacentral:rRNA from 1 species